GCUAGUGAGGGAGAUAGGAAGAGAUUCCAGUAGUAACUGGGUCAUCGUAGCGGUAUGCUGAUGCUGCCGUUACGGGUAUAAAUUACCAACAGUGUAGAGUGUCACGAAAGAGUCGAAGUUGGAAGGCAUGCUAGAGUAAUGUGCUGUUCUCUUGCACUGGUGAGUUUAUAUCCGUCAACUUAUAUGCGUCAUCCUCCAUUUUGGAUUAUUGACCUCGGUAUAAAUGGCGGGAGCCACCGCGCCCCUCGUGUUGCUGUAUGCUAGCUGUGAGCUGUAAGCUAAUGGCUAAGGUGCCUUAUCUUUCUUAAUAAAUUGUGACAUAUUAACUGACACAAACAGGAUAUUUCAUGGUAUUCUGUAUUUAGGACUGCUACCACUGGUAAGUGGAGUAGCUCCAUUGAGUUGUAUGUUUGUAUUUGUAUUUUAUGUUGAAUGUUAAAUUGAGUGUAUUAACUGUUACGCCUUGAGGCCUAGUAACCGUUGAAACACUGAUGUUAGUGAAUGUUUGCAGAUAGCCAGUUUUCAUGCCCUACAUUCACCCAAUAAAAUUAUUGUGUAUUAUGAAUGUGGUUACUGAGUUUUUGAUAUUAACUCCAGUUAUGCUGACCAUGUUAAUAGUUAGCUGUUAAGUAAUAUUAUGUGACCUAUCUCAGGUAGGUCAGGUUUUAAUGUUGAGUUCAUAUGUUGUUUGAAUGCGGAUACGGUGGAGUCCGACCUGUCGGCGAAGAUUCUGGAUAACCUCGGAGAAACUGUUCCAGUAAUGGAUGGCAAGCCAACCCCACUUGACCUAGAACCUGAUUGCAGAUAGGAGGUUGCAAUUUCAGCACACUGUGCUGAGAGCUUUGAUUUAGUUUCCCUUGGCCCAAGGGAUCAGGUAAAACUGUGUGCACAUUGACACUUGUUUCCUUUGCAGGAGGACACACAGACUGUACUGACUCGGUACUCGGAGAACCGAGGGACUGUGAACUCCGUCUCACCAAGACCAGAGUUUAGUUAACUCCAGCGAGUGAAUCUAUAGUCUUUUGAUCUGGCCCAAUUACAACCAUCUAGGUAUCGACUACUCAUUACGGUCAUCACACGCUGUAAUACCCCGUGGACGAGUCUGCGAGUGUUGUCUAAUUUCCACUACAAUUUGGCGUCUCCUGGUUGGGCUGCGUGAGUCUUUUCAGCUUUUCUGGACAACAAGCAAACCGGAGGGCGCCUGUGGAAAAGUUUCAUCCAGAAACCUUUGCCCUAAAUAAAGGUUUGCCCUUUAUUAUGCAGAGCAAAAGACCAAUGCAGCCUUCCCAUUGACUGGUAGGAAUCAUCAAGAAUUUAGAAUUAGAAUUUUAUGAAGUCAUUGUGUAUUGCUGUCUGUAUGGAAGGGAGUCAGUGAUAUAAGAAAUGUGUGUAUUACAUUGAAAGAAGUAUUACAUGGAGGCGAUUUAUUAUAAGAGGUUCCAGGAACUUUGCCUCUGAACUUCGCCUUCGCUCUCUCAUUAUUCUAUCCUGCUUUAUUCUAUCCUGUAUUAACCAUCUUUCUGUAAUAAAUCUUUUUAUCUUCA